UACGGAAGGCAGCAGUGGGGAAUAUUGCACAAUGGGCGAAAGCCUGAUGCAGCUAUGCCGCGUGUAUGAAGAAGGCCUUAGGGUUGUAAAGUACUUUCAUCGGGGAGGAAAAACAAAACUAAUAAUUUUAUUUCUUGACGUUACCCGAAAAAGAAGCACCGGCUAACUCCGUGCCAGCAGCCGCGGUAAUACGGAGGGUGCUAGCGUUAAUCAGAAUUACUGGGCGUAAAGAGCACGUAGGUGGUUUUUUUAAGUCAGAUGUGAAAUCCCUGGGCUUAACCUAGGAACUGCAUUUUGAAACUGAAAUACUAGAGUAUAGUAGAGGGAGGUAGAAUUCUAGGUGUAGCGGUGAAAUGCGUAGAUAUCUGGAGGAAUACCUGUGGCGAAAGCGGCCUCCUAAACGAAUACUGACACUGAGGUGCGAAAGCGUGGGGAGCAAACAGGGAUUAGAUACC
rnacentral:rRNA from 1 species